UACGUAGGUGGCAAGCGUUGUCCGGAUUUACUGGGCGUAAAGGGCGUGCAGGCGGUCUGUUAAGUGCAGGGUGAAAGCUCCCGGCUCAACUGGGAGAGGUCCUUGCAUACUGGCGGACUUGAGGGGGGUAGAGGAAAGUGGAAUUCCCGGUGUAGUGGUGAUAUGCGUAGAUAUCGGGAGGAACACCAGUGGCGAAGGCGGUUGCCUGGGGCUUUGCUGACGCUGAUGCGCGAAAGCGUGGGGAGCGAUCCGG
rnacentral:rRNA from 1 species